rnacentral:rRNA from 1 species
UACAGGGGGUGCAAACGCUGCUCGGAAUCAUUGGGCGUAAAGCGCACGUAGGCGGUCUGUUAUGUCGGAUGUGAAAGCCCUUGGCUCAACUGAGGAAGUGCAUCCGAAACUGGCAGGCUAGAGUACUAAAGAGGAUCGCGGAAUUCCCGGUGUAGAGGUGAAAUUCGUAGAUAUCGGGAGGAACACCGGUGGCGAGGGCGGCGAUCUGGGUAGAUACUGACGCUGAGGUGCGAAAGCGUGGGGAGCAAACAGG